UACGUAGGGGGCUAGCGUUGUCCGGAAUCAUUGGGCGUAAAGAGCGUGUAGGCGGCCAGGUAGGUCGGUUGUGAAAACUGGAGGCUCAACCUUCAGAGGUCGACCGAAACCACCUGGCUAGAGUCCGGGAGAGGAGAGUGGAAUUCCUGGUGUAGCGGUGAAAUGCGCAGAUAUCAGGAAGAACACCCGUGGCGAAAGCGGCUCUCUGGAACGGUACUGACGCUGAGACGCGAAAGCGUGGGGAGCGAACAGG
rnacentral:rRNA from 1 species